GGAGGGCCAGGGCCCUGGGUUUAGUUGUGGGGGUCGGAGUUGGCCAGUUUAGGUCUUAGGAGACCGUUGAGAGAGAUGGCAGAGUUAGAUGAGGUUGGGGGACUUGGGGUGCCAAGAGAAGGAAGGUUGACACGGGGAGUAGAUCUUGGGGAAAUUGUGCUGGGGAGAGCUGUAUUGAAAGGGCCCGCAGUAACCCAGGGGGAGGACGACCCUCCAGGCCUAUCUGUCGCAGCUGUCUGCUGGAGAAGGGGAUCUCCACCUUUGGGUGGGCACCGCUCAUGCGUAGGCUGAGCAGGCCCCCAGUGCCCUGGUUUGUGUAGAAGGAGAAAGGCCGAGACAGAUGGAGGAUGUUGAGGGUCUUGCCUCCCUAGCUGGAGGCAGAAUUGGUCAGUCAGUGCUUUGAAAAGGAGCUGGAAGGCAGGCAGUGGGGUGCAGGGGGGCAGGUGGGCAGGGAGGGCAGGACUUGAACUUGUCAAUACCAGCAGUCCCCUUUUUUUCCAGACAAAGGGUUGUGAGCCCUCCUGGGGAUGAGGCCUCGUGUGGUGGAAGCUGCACUUAGCUUCGCGGGGCUGACUGCUCUGGCCCAGGGCGGUAUGUGGCAGUGCUCCCCUUUGGACUUUUCCUCUAGGUUCCGCGCUAACCUCCUCUGUGAGCUCACUCUGCCCCCCCCUCCUCCCCUUCACACUCUCGAGGUUACCCAUUCAUUUAAAACAUUGCUUCUGGUAAUCUGGUAAGCCGGGAAAAUUGUUGCCAUCGGAGUUGGUAUCUUGGUAACCCUGAAGAGGAGAGGCAGCCCUGCUGAGACUCUGGGUGGGUGGGGUGGUGUUGCUUGCCAGUGGAGAGGGUGGGGAUUGAAUGUGCACCCUUGGGUGGGCCCGCAGCGACGGUACCAUCUGAAAGCUACGAAAAUGCCUCAUAGACGGUGGUUUGUUGCUGUAGUGUUCAUCAUGGCGAUCUGAUGGCACCAGGAGAAAUGGAGCCCCUGGCCAGUGUGAGUCGUAGCGGUGCAGGAGGGGAGACCCUGGAGGAAAGAGCCCGCCUAAAUUGCUGUCUGCAGAGUGAAUUUCCAGAGGCUUAGGAGGAGGAAGUUCUCCAGUGGCAUGUUUCCAGGCCUUGCUCAGGAAGCCCUGUAUUCAGGAGGCCAUCCUUUAAAGUGUUCAUGAGCUUAUGAGGGGGCAGUCUUUAAAAUGCCAAAGCAGAUGGAUCCGGGGCCAUCAGCAGAUGUGUUGCUUUGAGUGUUUGAUCCGGGAGCAACGAUCUCUGGGCACGUGAAUGUCAGCAGGCACGUCUCCUGGGUUGGAGGUUUCAGAUGCUGCCGUCUUCUAAAUUGUCUCCUGUCAUACUAGUGUGCUGCGAACCUUGUUUCCAGAAGACUCUUAAGCUGUAGAACAUUUUAACGGUGAUGCCACAACACAGAUGAUGCCUUGUAGAUGGAGCUUGCACAUGGAUCCCAGUGACCCUCAUCUACCCGCCUGCCUGCCUGUGCUUUUGUUGGAGGAAUUCUUAGUGUGAUACAUAAUGUGUGUGUUGGGAAAGUGUUCUAGAUUGAAAUGCAUUAGGCAAAUACUUAAAUGAAGCCAACUGGCGAAGUUGGGGGGUGGGGGGGCGGUCGUGGUCAUUGUGCUGUGGUAGGUGGGAGGGCGCGAGAUGGUCAUGUCCAGAUUGUGAUUGUUAACGGCAGGUUUAGUUUGGUCACUUCUGUUACCAGAAGGGAAUAGUCAGGAUACCGAUAGUAUUCUGUUCAUCUUGCUCUAUAUGCUUCUUAACUUACUUGAUUAGAUUUCAGAGUAAUCUUAGUGUUCAAGUGGAAGGGCUCUGAGGUGAAGGGUUGUGGGGUGGAAAACAGCCUGAUGCUAGGAAGGGUGAGGUGAAGAAAAGAAGGUUGGGAUUAGGUGUGGCUUGUAGAGGGUGGGAGUGGUAGGGAAUGUGGGUUGAAGGGAAUUCUCUGGAGAAAAGAUCAGUAGGCAGAGCUCUGGGGUAUAGAGCUCAAAGGCAAAGAAAAUGCUACCUUGUUAAUGCUAGUUAAAUUGUUACUUGAGAAGUUUCUGCAAUGCUUAAAACUGCUAAGCGUGGGGAAGGAUUUUUCCAAAGCAAAACUGUUUUGCUUUGCUUACAAGAAGGGGAAGACUGAACAGGUAACUGAAACCUGGAUAUCAGUCUAUUGAGAGAUUGGUGUCAGGGACUUGGCAUCAGAUUAACAUCUUUCACUGCUUUGCAAGCUUCUUAAGUGUUAUAUGAAGGUGUGCAAUGUUCAGGGACUAGUUUCAGAAAAGACUUUAAAUACCCAAAUUGUGGGCUUUUAAAGUAUUUUGAGAUUUUGGUAUGCACUUAAGAUGCUUAGAUGCCCUCUUCUGGGUUUGUAACAUUUUUGUUCACUUGGUAUUUUGCAGUUGAAAGUUUGAGCAAAGUGAAAACACAAUUUCUAAAGGAAUUUUGUAUAUUACUUCCUACCUUAUAAACAUCUUGUCUUUUCUUUGUAAUGAGUAAUUAGUAAUAGCCAAAGCGCUUUCUUUCCAUCCUCAUUGUAACAAGGAGAACUUAAAUCAUGAUCACUCUCUAAAUACUGUAAUAUUUGGUAGCAAACAAUCUAUGUACCCUUGCUAAAGUUCCAGUUAAUAGUUUACUCCAUCUUCAGUUUGAAUGUUUGUGUUAAGUGAAGGAGUACUAGAGGGGAAACAACCAAAAUUGCGUAGGGAAAUGAGAGCAAAACUGGGGGUGGGGAGUUUUUUGCCUGCAUUAUGUAUGUUUGUAAAAAUUUAGGGAAGUAUCAAUCCUUUGUGAUAAAACCAGUGACUUUUUAUCCUGUCCCUUUUCCCAUUGAAUUUCGUUUUGAGAAUCUUAGAUCCUCAGUACUUAAGACACGGAAUUUUUCUGGGUUCUCUCGUUUUAAUGUUUACAAGUAUGUUGACGUGAUAGUUCUGUUCUUAACCUGUAACUUGGGCAUGUGAUACAGUUACUGUCAUUGGAAUGUAAAGAGUAUUAGCCAUGCAUGUAUGGGGAAAUAAGCUGUUGUGAAAUUGAAACUGUAAAACAGGUGGAAAGGGUUCUUUUAUGUUGCUCUGUAUGGUAAGAACCAGUCCUUGUUGCAUCAUGUAUAUGACUACUAACACUUUUCUUCCCCUUUACAGAGUGAAUAAAGGUUUGAGUUCUAAACUCAAAAAAAAAAAAAAAAAAGAA